ACCCCGUCCAGGAAGCAAACACAGCGUGCGGGAUGGUUUGUCUGGUGUGGUAUAUAAGCGCUGUGAAUGCCUCCGGCGGGUUACUAUGGAAACGGCGCUGGAGAGCGCGCGUCGCUACGGGGUGACGUCAUCAUACCCCGUCCAGGAAGCAAACACAGCGUGCGGGAUGGUUUGUCUGGUGUGGUAUAUAAGGUAAGACUAUUUGAUUUGUAAACUGUUCUUGUCCUGACGAAAUUUAUGUUAAUAAAUGAAACGUUGACUCUUUGAA